AUGAACGCUGGCGGCGUGCCUAAUACAUGCAAGUCGAGCGCACGGACGAGAAGCUUGCUUCUCUGAUGUUAGCGGCGGACGGGUGAGUAACACGUGGAUAACCUACCUAUAAGACUGGGAUAACUUCGGGAAACCGGAGCUAAUACCGGAUAAUAUUUUGAACCGCAUGGUUCAAAAGUGAAAGACGGUCUUGCUGUCACUUAUAGAUGGAUCCGCGCUGCAUUAGCUAGUUGGUAAGGUAACGGCUUACCAAGGCAACGAUGCAUAGCCGACCUGAGAGGGUGAUCGGCCACACUGGAACUGAGACACGGUCCUGACUCCUACGGGAGGCAGCAGUAGGGAAUCUUCCGCAAUGGGCGAAAGCCUGACGGAGCAACGCCGCGUGAGUGAUGAAGGUCUUCGGAUCGUAAAACUCUGUUAUUAGGGAAGAACAUAUGUGUAAGUAACUGUGCACAUCUUGACGGUACCUAAUCAGAAAGCCACGGCUAACUACGUG
rnacentral:rRNA from 1 species